AAGAAAAAGGCACAGAGAUGGCCGGAAUGCACAAGGCAAGACUGCGUGCCAGGGCCGCUGGAGCUCCCUCUCUUCUCUUCUGCCUGCUUUCACCUCUACAGAAGAUCUCUGUGUUUGAGUAGGCACUGACAGAGACGGGUGGGGACUUGCAGAAUCAUCUGCAUUCAUCUUUUAUAUAGUGCUCUGGGCCUCUGGAAUCCUUAUUCAUCUGUCUUAAUGGCCCUGUGCGUUAUUAAAAAUGCAUUUUUGCAGACGAAGCAUUACAACUGAAAGAACGCAAAGACCACAGAGAGACUAUUUAGCUUAGAUGGGAGCUGAUUCCAACACUCCCAGGUUAGGGAGUGAGACUCUGCUUUAGAAUCCCCACCCAUUUUAUCUGAAGAUAAAGACAAAAGAUGCAGUGGAACGCUUGGAUGGAAAUAAAUUGUGCCUGACUACCGA